rnacentral:lncRNA from 1 species
CACUCUUUAUUCUGCCGUACCUAUCGCGUGUGCGAAAUUGAUCGCAAUUGCCGGUAACGGACUCGAUCGUGUUGUAUAUCGCGCGCACUAAAUGUACCGCGAGGGCCGGCUUUGGGCGUCAGCUCGCCUGUGCUUUGUGAGCGCCUGGAUAUUGUCCGCCAUUGCCGCCGGCCGCCCGGACGCUUGCUCACCGAAGGUUCGCCGUGGAUGCAGCCGUUGCCCACAACGAGCAGAAUGCUGUGUGCCCUGGCGCGUACAAUGCCUGUCAUCUAUCGCUUCCGUUGGAGCAGCUUCAUAAAAAGGACUGUACGAGUUAUGACAACGUGGCUGGACCUGUAUUGUACAUUUUGCAGUGAAUUCAAUGAAAGAAAGCAGAAACUUCAUAUGUAUAGCGAAAAAUAAAACGUUUCAUUGUA